rfam:Cajanus cajan CcLG08_70, whole genome shotgun sequence.
GUGAAUGAUGAUACAUGCACUGGGUGGGCUCUGAUCAGUUUAAACUGCACUUUUGAUGGAAAUGCGUAGCCUAGAAACUGUGUCUGACUA